rnacentral:rRNA from 1 species
CCUACGGGUGGCAGCAGUGAGGAAUAUUGGUCAAUGGCCGAGAGGCUGAACCAGCCAAGUCGCGUGAGGGAAGACGGCCCUACGGGUUGUAAACCUCUUUUGUCGGGGAGCAAAGAGAGUCACGUGUGACUCAUUGAGAGUACCCGAAGAAAAAGCAUCGGCUAACUCCGUGCCAGCAGCCGCGGUAAUACGGAGGAUGCGAGCGUUAUCCGGAUUUAUUGGGUUUAAAGGGUGCGCAGGCGGAAGCGGCAAGUCAGCGGUAAAAUUGCGGGGCUCAACCUCGCCGAGCCGUUGAAACUGCUCUUCUAGAGUGGGCGAGAAGUAUGCGGAAUGCGUGGUGUAGCGGUGAAAUGCAUAGAUAUCACGCAGAACUCCGAUUGCGAAGGCAGCAUACCGGCGCCCAACUGACGCUCAUGCACGAAAGCGUGGGUAUCGAACAGGAUUAGAUACCCCAGUAGUC